rnacentral:rRNA from 1 species
AUUGAACGCUGGCGGCAGGCCUAACACAUGCAAGUCGAGCGAGCGGCGGACGGGUGAGUAAUGUCUGGGAAACUGCCUGAUGGAGGGGGAUCACUACUGGAAACGGUAGCUAAUACCGCAUACCAUCAGAUGUGCCCAGAUGGGAUUAGCUAGUAGGUGGGGUAAUGGCUCACCUAGGCGACGAUCCCUAGCUGGUCUGAGAGGAUGACCAGCCACUCUGGAACUGAGACACGGUCCAGACUCCUACGGGAGGAAGCGGUGGAGAAUAGGGCACAAUGGGCGAAAGCGUGAUGCAGCGAUGCCGCGUGUGUGAAGAAGGCCUUCGGGUUGUAAAGCACUUUAAGCGUGGAGGCGUUACCCGCAGAAGAAGCACCGGCUAACUCCGUGCCAGCAGCCGCGGUAAUAC